rnacentral:lncRNA from 1 species
AUGUGGAGGGACCUCCUCAGCUGGGACUUUUUGAGCUGGAAACAGCCGGAGGGGCGCUUUCUCCAUGUGCGUGUUUUUACCCGGAUGUUUGCACGCCAACGCUUUGGAGAGCCAGUGACCUCGGUACCAUUGUGCCUUCAGAAAGAGAAUCAGAUUUUGCCGGAACGUUCGUCUGCCAGACAAGGUGGUGUAGAGAAUCAGCCUCUUGAGAACAGGCCCUGGAACUUCUUCAGAGAUGGAAUAAAGUUGUGUGCAGACAUUCAAUAGGUGUCUGACAGCCGGUGUGAGUGCUGCCUUGUUAAGAACUCAUAACUCCUUAUUUUAAGUAGACUGAACUUGACCUUAUGGACAGGCACUGACCAGAAAUGUAUCUUUCCCAUGUCUUUCUUUACUUGUUUCCAAACAGAGACCAGUCAAGUCAGGAUAUGUUUCCACGAGGCCCUUCCGCCUCCUGAAAUGAGGAGAGUGGAACAUUGUGUAUGCAAAAUGUGUCUCUCUUUUUUACCAUACGGUGUGGAUGGUUGAAAACACUGACUUAUUUAAUCCUCUAAGCAGAGUCUGUUCUCCAUGAAUCAUACUGUAUACCUAAUGGUGAUGAAAAUGUUCAGUUUGAAAUUUCUCCCUGGCCAGAGAGGAAACCAUGGGGGUGAAUCAUAGUUUUAGUGAUGACUGUCCAGCGGAAGCUAAAUUGGGAAGCCACAGGUUAAAAAAGGAGCAGGAGUGAAUCCUUCACAGGAAUGCAAUGGUCAUAAACUCCGAGAAGGCGACAGACGCCCCCUUCUGCUGCUUACACAGGGCCAAAGCCUGCAGAAGGAGAGCGCCUGAAUGUUCUCCUGGGGAGGGAGAUUCUGAAAGCAGAGACAUGUAAAGUUACCCAUGGACUGGGAAAAGAAACAGGACUUUUCAGUGGGGGAGGGGAGACAAAUGGCUGCCUGAAAAGAGAAACACAACCGCACACACUCACUCAUGUGAAAGAAAUUCAUUUCAGAGCCAUUGGAUUAGAGAUGGAGAUUUACAUGGGUGACUUUCAAGAAAAGGAGGGUGUAAGAGACAGGAAAGAUGUACGUCAGUCAUUUGCUACAAAACUGUCAACGGCACUGGGGACUCAGGAUACAACGUUAAGCAGAAAAAUGGGCUACUAAAUUGUAAUUAAACUCUGAGUGCAAUUGUGUAAAAUAUGUAUACCUUGGACAAAGACUGAAAGGGAAUACAGAGAAAUUAACAUAGUUAUUGUGUUAAUGUAGGGAUGUUGUUUUCCAUUGUUUAAAUGUGUGGGUGUGAAUGUGAAGGCAGGGGUGGGGAGAGACUGAGACAGCAACAAGAGGAAUCCAGAAGCCCAGUGUUUAAGUUUGACACGCUGUGCCAGCUGUGAACUUAACCUCUCUGAGCCUCAGUGUCCUUGUAUAGAAAGUGGGAAUAAUAACACCUGCCCCGCACUAACAAGGUAGUGAAAACACUUUCUAAAUUGUAAAUAUUGUAGGAGAUUGUGUGAGGAAUUCAGAUCAGAGUGCUACAUAGAGCCGAGGCUUAAAAAGUCCAGAACUCAGGUGGUGUGGCGGUUAAGUGCGCACGUUCCGAUUCAGCAGCCCAGGGUUCGCCGGUUCGGAUCCUGGAUUCAGAUAUGGUACCGCUUGGCACGCCAUGCUGUGGCAGGCGUCCCACAUAUAAAAUAGAGGAGGAUGGGCACAGAUGUGAGCUCAGGGCCAGUCUUCCUCAGCAAAAAGAAGAGGAUUGGCAGUGGAUGUUAGCUCAGGGCUAAUCUUCCUAAAAAAAAAAGUCCAGAACUCAGAAAAUGAUCCUAAAUCCUUUUUCUCAGCAGUCACUGGGGGAGCAGGACAAUGUAUGUUAGCUCAUUUAAUUACACGCAGUGCAAAUUACAAGCACUUCUUGGGCACCUACUAAUUGCUUUACUACCCAGGUUUGCCAAUAUCGUUUAUAGAAUAAUCCAUUUUUCUUGCAUUUGAAAUACUCCUUUAUCAUAUGCCUGAGUUUAUUUUACUCUACUAUUUCACUGCUUACCAUUCGGUUUUUAUUAUUGUAGCUUUAUAAUAUUUUUAAUCUGGUAGGGCAAUUUUUUAUAGGCUUUUUUUAAAAAAAAAAAUAGGAUCCAAGGUAGAGUGGGAGCUAUUCAAGAGGAUAACCAAGCUGGGGCUUAAGGGAGUAAAUAACGAGCCCAAGGGCACAUGGCAGUAUAGCACAGUCUUAGAAGAGAACUUUGGAAUCAGAGAAAGCUUAGUUCAAGUCCUGCUUUAUUGCUUAUCGUCUGGUUGCCGCAAUGUACAUUGCUUAAUCUCUCUAACCUCUUUCUUCAUCUGUAAGCUGAGGAUAACAUCAGCUACCUCAGAGUGUUGUGGUGCGGAUUAAAUGACAAAACGAAUGUGAAUUUCCCCAGCACCGUGCCUGGCGCACAGCUGUUGUACAUCUUCCCUCCAUUUGUUCACGUGCACCCUUAGUGGUAAGCACGUGGCUUCUCUUUCUUAGAUUUUCUUGCAUCUGCAGAGAAAAGAAGAGGAGCCAAGGAUCAUCACCAACUUCUACCCAGCAUUCAGAAGGCUUCUUUCACUGUACAGAGAGACGCACGAUGACAGGCCAGUAAGGAAACAGGGCAUUUAAAUUGGAUGUCGCUGCUCCCUGAAUAUAGCAAAGCAGGAGCUACAGCAUGCCAUCUAAUUCAUAAAAUGCACUGUCAUUACGCAGCCAAGAAGAUGGGAUGUCAAAAAGAUAGGAAUGCCAGGCAGUACGUUCCCAUCAGACCUCAAGGGCAUCAGAGAGCAGGAGAAGGGAAAUUGCCAAGGGUGAUGGGAACAGGGUAGGAACAGGUGAAAGAUAACGCGGCCUGUCUUCUCUCUUCUGCUCCGACAAGUUAAGAUUUUAAGUGAUUUAGGGGCAGAGAUCACAUCUAUUACCUCCCUUUUUGUAGUUUCUAAAAGAUUAUUGAGUAAUAUUGGAAAGAGUUGAUGAUUAGAGUGAAGAAAUGUCACAUACGGCCCCAGAGUAACCCUCUGUACCCGAGAGUGGCCAGGACGACUUUCGCAGGAAGCUUCUGUCUUCUCUCCCUGGGAAGCCGUGGAUGGAGUCUGAUCAUAAUUAAUUUUAGUAGAGACCUGACAUGAUGUGAUCAAAUCUUGGCCAUUCCAAUGAAAGAGAACCAGCCAGCCAGCUUGGACAGAAAUCAUCUCAGUUUUCUCUUGCCAUUGGCUUUAGAACAAGUCAAAUCCAGUUAAAAAGUAUUUAUUUAUUGAGUGAUUUUAUAAAAAGGGAUUCAAAAGAAGAACCUUGUCUUGAUGAGCAGUGUGUAGGUCUGUGUCCAGGAUCCAAACCUGCGAGCCCCAGGCCCCCAAAGCAGAGCAUGCAACCUUAACCACUACGCCACUGGGCCAUCCUCAUUUUAAUCAUUUUUAAGUGUACAGUUUAGUGGCAUUAAGUAGAUUUAUAUGGUUGUGCAACCAUCACCACCGUCCAUCCCUAGAACUUCAUUCAUCUUGCAAAACUGAAGCUCUGCACCCAAUAAACAAUGACAUAAUACAACCA